rnacentral:tRNA from 1 species
UGCAUUGGCCGGGAAUCGAACCCGGGCUGCCAGUGUGGCAGGCGAGCAUUCUACCACUGAACCACCGAUGG